rnacentral:tRNA from 1 species
GGUGUCCUGGCGCAAUGGUAGCGCGUUGGUUUUCGGUUUCAGCCGAAACUCGCCAAAGGUUGUAGGUUCGAGCCCUGCGGACAUCG